rnacentral:rRNA from 1 species
UACGUAGGGGGCAAGCGUUGUCCGGAAUCAUUGGGCGUAAAGAGCGUGUAGGCGGCUUGGCAAGUCUGGUGUGAAAUCUUGCGGCUCAACCGCAAGCGGUCACUGGAAACUGCCUCGCUAGAGUCCGGAAGAGGAGAGCGGAAUUCCUGGUGUAGCGGUGGAAUGCGCAGGUAUCAGGAAGAACACCCGUGGCGAAGGCGGCUCUCUGGGACGGUACUGACGCUGAGACGCGAAAGCGUGGGGAGCGAACAGG